GCGUUACUCGGAAUCACUGGGCGUAAAGCGCGCGCAGGCGGGUUGGUAAGUUGGGUGUGAAAGCCUGCGGCUCAACCGCAGAACUGCACCCAAAACUGCCAGCCUAGAGUCUGGGAGAGGUGAGUGGAAUUAGUGGUGUAGGGGUAAAAUCCGUAGAGAUCACUAGGAAUACCGAAAGCGAAGGCAACUCACUGGAACAGUACUGACGCUGAGGCGCGAAAGCGUGGGGAGCAAACAGGAUUAGAUACCCUGGUAGUCCACGCCCUAAACGAUGGAUGUUAGUCGUUGGGAUGCACGUCAUCCCAGUGAUGCAGCUAACGCAUUAAACAUCCCGCCUGGGGAGUACGGUCGCAAGAUUAAAACUCAAAGGAAUAGACGGGGACCCGCACAAGUGGUGGAGCAUGUGGUUUAAUUCGAAGAUACGCGAAGAACCUUACCCGGCCUUGACAUCCCGCGAACCCUGCAGAGAUGCGGGGGUGCUACUUCGGUAGAGCGCGGUGACAGGUGCUGCACGGCUGUCGUCAGCUCGUGUCGUGAGAUGUUGGGUUAAGUCCCGCAACGAGCGCAACCCUCGUGUCCAGUUGCUAACGGUUCGGCCGAGCACUCUGGACAGACUGCCUGGGCAACCAGGAGGAAGGUGAGGACGACGUCAAGUCAUCAUGGCCCUUACGGCCGGGGCGACACACGUGCUACAAUGGGCAGGACAAUGAGACGCGAUACCGCGAGGUGGAGCAAAUCUAUAAACCUGCUCUCAGUUCGGAUUGCAGUCUGCAACUCGACUGCAUGAAGCUGGAAUCACUAGUAAUCGUGGAUCAGCCAUGCCACGGUGAAUACGUUCCCGGGUC
rnacentral:rRNA from 1 species